AAGGAAUCAUUUUUAAGUUUUCAUGGGUAUUUUGGUGAUUUUCUAAACGUAGUUUUGGUUGUCCUGUCAUGAAUUUAAUUUUUGAGUAAACCCUCAGCAUCGUGAGGGUUUUACCGUCCAGUUACAUGGCGAGUUAUAUGUCGUGAUUGGUGGUUUGAGGUACGAGAGCCUGUAUCUAUGAUCCAUGUUUGAUUUCCACAUGGCUGGUGGUAUUGUAAGGGGCUGUUCGAGGCUGUUGUAGAUUGGGGAUGAGCUCCCACACCUAACGUCCACAAACCAUCCAGAAGGACGAGCCAAAGCCUGGAAUUGCACCGGAUAAUCAGCCCAGAUUUCAAAUUUUUUUAUUAACUCAUUUCAAAUCUAUUUACUUA